CUGGCGGCGCGCUUACACAUGCAAGUCGCACGAGAAAGUGGAGCAAUCCAUGAGUACAGUGGCGUACGGGUGAGUAACACGUGGGUAAUCUACCUCUUAGUGGGGAAUAACCCUGGGAAACCGGGGCUAAUACCGCAUAAUCUCGAGAGAGGAAAGCAGCAAUGCGCUGAGAGAGGAGCCCGCGGCCGAUUAGCUUGUUGGCAGGGUAAAAGCCUACCAAGGCAUAGAUCGGUAGCCGGCCUGAGAGGGCACACGGCCACACUGGCACUGAAACACGGGCCAGACUCCUACGGGAGGCAGCAGUGGGGAAUCUUGCACAAUGGGGGAAACCCUGAUGCAGCGACGCCGCGUGAGCGAUGAAGCCCUUCGGGGUGUAAAGCUCUUUCGGCAGGGAAGAUGAUGACGGUACCUGCAGAAGCAGCUGCGGCUAACUACGUGCCAGCAGCCGCGGUAAUACGUANGCAGCGAGCGUUGUUCGGAGUUACUGGGCGUAAAGGGUGUGUANGCGGUUGUUUAAGUUUGGUGUGAAAUCUCCCGGCUCAACUGGGAGGGUGCGCCGAAUACUGAAUGACU
rnacentral:rRNA from 1 species